rnacentral:rRNA from 1 species
AGCGGCGGACGGGUGAGUAACGCGUGGGUAACCUGCCCUAUGGAGGGGGAUAACACAGAGAAAUCUGUGCUAAUACCGCAUAAGCGCACAGUAUCGCAUGAUACGGUGUGAAAAACUCCGGUGCCAUAGGAUGGACCCGCGUCUGAUUAGCUAGUUGGUGGGGUAAAGGCCUACCAAGGCGACGAUCAGUAGCCGACCUGAGAGGGUGAUCGGCCACAUUGGGACUGAGACACGGCCCAAACCCCUACGGGAGGCAGCAGUGGGGAAUAUUGCACAAUGGGGGAAACCCUGAUGCAGCGACGCCGCGUGAAGGAUGAAGGUCUUCGGAUCGUAAACUUCUAUCAGCAGGGAAGAAAAUGACGGUACCUGACUAAGAAGCCCCGGCUAACUACGUGCCAGCAGCCGCGGUAAUACGUAGGGGGCAAGCGUUAUCCGGAAUUACUGGG